rnacentral:SRP_RNA from 1 species
GCCAGGUGCGGUGGCUCACGCCUGUAAUCCCAGCACUUUGGGAGGCCGAGACGGGUGGAUCACCUGAGGUCAGGAGUUCGAGACCAGCCUGGCCAACAUGGUGAAACCCCGUCUCUA